rnacentral:rRNA from 1 species
AGUGGCGGACGGGUGAGUAACACGUGGACAAUCUGCCCCCCGGACGGGGAUAGCCCAUGGAAACAUGGGGUAAUACCGGAUACGACCACGGGUGCACAAGCACCUGUGAGGAAAGGCGCCAAGGCGCCGUCGGGGGAUGAGUCCGCGGUCCAUUAGCUAGUUGGCGGGGUAACGGCCCACCAAGGCGACGAUGGAUAGCCGGCCUGAGAGGGCGACCGGCCACAUUGGGACUGAGACACGGCCCAGACUCCUACGGGAGGCAGCAGCUAAGAAUCUUCCGCAAUGGACGAAAGUCUGACGGAGCGACGCCGCGUGAACGAUGAAGGCCGUGAGGUUGUAAAGUUCUUUUCCAGGGGAGGAAUAAGGAUGGCAGGGAAUGGCCGUCCGAUGACGUGAACCUGGGAAUAAGCCCCGGCUAACUACGUGCCAGCAGCCGCGGUAACACGUAGGGGGCGAGCGUUGUUCGGAAUCAUUGGGCGUAAAGGGUGCGCAGGCGGCAUGUCAAGUCUGGUGUGAAAGACCCCGGCUCAACCGGGGGGACGCGCUGGAAACUGACGUGCUGGAGUACAGGAGGGGGAGUUGGAAUUCCAGGUGUAGGGGUGAAAUCUGUAGAUAUCUGGAAGAACACCGGUGGCGAAGGCGAACUCCUGGCCAUGUACUGACGCUGAGGCACGAAGGCGUGGGGAGCAAAC